rnacentral:rRNA from 1 species
GAUUGCUUCUCUUUCACAAGCGUGGGGCGGGCGAGUGAUGUAUGGGGAUCUGUCCGAUAUAGGGGGAUAACUACUGUGAACGGAAGGUAAUACCGCAUAAUCUCUCACGAGCAAAGAAAGGGAGCUUUUGUCCUUGCGCUAUCUGAUAAACCCAUAUGUGAGUAACUAGUUGGUGAGGGAAUGGGUCUCCUAGGCGAGAAUCCCUAUCUGGGUUGAGAGGAUGAUCACUCACACUGUGACUGAGACACACACCACACUCCUACCGGAGGGAGGAGUGGGGAAUAUUGCACAAUGGGCGCAAGCCUGAUGCAUCCAUGCCGCGCGUGUGAAAAAAGACCUACGGAUGUAAAGAACUUUCUUUCGGGAGGAAGGAGUGGAUGUUAAUAUCAUCCCCAAUUGACGUUACCCACACAAAAAAAACCGGCUAACUCCGCGCCACCACACGCGGCAAUACAGAGGGGGCGAGCGUUAAUCUGAAUUACUGUGCGGAAAGAGCACGCAGGCGGGGGAUUAAAUUAGAUGUGAAAUCCCCGCGCUUAACCUGGGAAUGGCAUCUAAGACUGUGACUGCUAUAGACUUGUAGAGGGGGGUAGAAUUCCAUGUGUAGCGGUGAAAUGCGUAUAGAUAUGUAGGAAUACCGCUGUGCGAGGGCGGGCCCCUGUGACAAAGACUGACACUCACGUGCGAGAGAGUGGGGGAGAGAACACAGAUUAGAUACACC